CUUUUUCCACCUGCACUGUGAAUGUUUACAUGGUGUGUUCAAUAAAAACAUGGCAACAUUUCAUUCUUUGUGUGAUAUUAGUUUAGUUUCAAAAAGGCUUUAUUCAAACAUAAACAUUUCAGGGUUUGCCCUGAUCAAUGUACAACAGCAUGAAUCUAUAGAUUGAACAAGCAUACAAGAUAUAACGGACGCGCAGGUCCCAUCGUAGAAUGUGUGAACAUCACUCGAACAAUGUUACGUACUAUACAGAUAUGGUAUUUGAUCAUGGUUAACACGUUAGGGUAUUCAUAUGGGUGACCGGUUUGCAGCUCGAGUAGAG